UCACUACUAUAGCUCAGUCGGUAGAGCAUGAGACUCUUAAUCCCAGGGUUACGGGUUCGAGCCCCACAUUGGGUGAA